GACGAACGCUGGCGGCGUGCUUAACACAUGCAAGUCGAACGGGUCUGCCCUGUUUUUUGCGGGGUGGGUCAGUGGCGAACGGGUGAGUAACACGUGAGUAACCUGCCCCUCACUUCUGGAUAACCGCUUGAAAGGGUGGCUAAUACGGGGUGUUCUGGCUGUGCCGCAUGGUGUGGCUGGGAAAGAUUCACUUUUGUGGUGUUUUGGUGGGGGAUGGGCUCGCGGCCUAUCAGCUUGUUGGGGGGGUGAUGGCCUGCCAAGGCUUUGACGGGUAGCCGGCCUGGGAGGGUGGGCGGUCACACUGGGACUGAGAUACGGCCCAGACUCCUGCGGGAGGCAGCAGUGGGGGGUAUUGCACAAUGGGCGGAAGCCUGAUGCAGCGACGUCGCGUGAGGGAUGGAGGCCUUCGGGUUGUGAACCUCUUUCGCCGGUGAAGAAGGUCCUGCUCUUUGUGGUGGGGUUGACGGUAGCCGGGUUAUGAAGCGCCGGCUAACUACGUG
rnacentral:rRNA from 1 species